AAGAAAUUGUAUCUGAUACAGGUUUAUUUUUACUGAGUAGUAAAAGAGAGUUAGUCUUUCAACUAAGAACAGGGAAGGGCAAGGGAAUGGCUUUAUCAAAACGGCAUUUACAGGAUAAUAAAUGCUCUGACUUCAAACUUUAAUAUUUGCCAAUUGGCUGCGCACAAAAACAACGAGAUGGCUGAGGUGAAGUUCUGGUCACAGUCAAAUAAGUGGCAGAUUUCAGCAGAGCCAGGUAUUUGUAGCUCAAGUGCUGUACAGGGGCACUAAUGCCCCGUGGAGGUCUCAUUUGAGCAAACUGCUUUCUUAAGUCCUUUAUUUGACAAUAUCUUCCCAAAACUAAGCAUGCACUUCUCCGCUGUGUUAAACCAGGCUCUGAAAUUGAUGAUGAGUCUGACAGUUUAGGAAAGUUUGGAUUGCUAAGAUACAAUAGGCUUUUGUUUAUCUGAGCUUGUCUGUAUGAUUUCUUAGUCCGUUUGGAUGUCCAUUCCACCGCCCAGAAGGGGCAGCUUUCUGCAGAGCCCCUUUGCUUCACUGAGUUUGAUGUGAGAAAGCAUAGCCAGGGCUCAGCAGCCAUGCUAGGAGCAGGGAGGGUGACAUGAUGGACACGAUGGAGUGAUAUCCUCUUGUUACAUGCCACCUUGGGGUGGUGAAGGAAGAUGCAAAUGACAGCCUUGAUGUCUUCAGGUUGGAAAAGCAGGUGUGAUUUAAACUCUAAAAAAGAGUUACAGCACCAACCAUACCUUCAAGAAUUAGGCAUGUGGACUCUUAGGGAGUGGGAAGUAUUUUGGGGGGCAGGAGGUAGGAAGGCAUCCAUCUGAUCGAAAGUUGGUGUUCACAGUAACUGUGUCAGAAUUAGUCAUCUGGGUUCCAUCUGCAGUCAAUGGGGAGGUUCAGACACCUGUAAGGCAUGACUCAUCUCCUAUUGCACAUAUGGAUCAGAUCAGAUGAACUGCCUCCUAGUUUCCCUCCACCAGCUGUGAAAGGAGCCCCGUGUGACUUGCUAUCUAAGCAAGUAUCUUACCUGUUGGUGUGUAAAGGUAGGGCACAUGAAAGCCCUGCCUUUGUUUUGGAAGCUAGCCACUGAAGAAAUGUUUUACACACUUGUAGAACUAAAUCAACAAAGCUCUGAUGUGAUAUUCAAACUGUAACUCCCCUGCUCGUGUCUUUCUGUGCGAUCUUCCAGACAAAUUGUAUCUAUCACUUUUCCUAAUGGCUCAUUUGGAUGGUGUCUAGUCAUAUUCAUUCAUCAGAUCUGACUUUCUACAUAGAGCUUCUACUGCUCAGUGCAGCGUAACAGCAGCACACUGCAGCACACAUAAUGAUGUGAAGCACACAUCUUUUUUUGUGUGGGUCACCCUAGAGCAGGUAUAUCCAACCUGUGGUCUGUGGGUUGUACAUGGCCUAGUCCAGUCUGUCCUGCAGCUGCCAACCGCUCCACACCAUCAUGGUGGUUGUUCUGCCCCACUAUGGGGCCCAGCCUGGCCCCAAUUUCUCUUCACUCAGUGUGGUCUAGGCAAGUGAAAAGUUUGGACACCCAUGCCUUAGAGGUGGGUGCAUGGUCCCAGUCCCUUAAUAUCUUAGUACCUUGUGAGCCUUAAUACAUUUUUCUUUAAUAUAAACAUAUUACCUUCCCCUCCUCUACCUCCUGUCUGACUAUUCCCCUUGGCUUAUGUAUGAACUAAGGACAACUAAGCUUACUGAGGAGCUCCCUUGGCUUUUUGACUAUCCCAGCAGCUCCAUUUGUCUGCCUUCCUCUCUCCUUACACGUGCAGUUAAGAGUCUACAAACUCCAGGUACCUCUGAACUUUGCCUGCUGACUUGUGCCUCCUCCUCACGAUGCAGAGAGGUUUUCCAGCCCAGUUACUUUUGUUGCAUCAAGAGCUUUCUGACAGUCAGUAAAUCACAUCACAUCCUCUAGUCUUGAUUGGAGCUUCUGCUGGCUAAUGUCAGAUACUCAGUGCAAAUAUUCCAUUUCACUAUGGCGUAUUAAAUGAGGUUUUAAUAAUUGCCAUAGAUAACUCUAGGGGAAGGCCGUAGGGGGCUUUUAUGCCUUAGAUAUGGAUUUGUGUGGUAGUAAUAAUACACGUGCACUCCAGAAGUCCCAAAGACGAUGAAAUGAAGAGGGAAACAGUGGCUUGGAAUCAGUGGGUCGCUGUAUAGCAAACAAGCUCAAUGAAAUUUGGCUUUGAUGGGAUUACCUGCCUGCACUUAUCUGUGACAGAAGGUGUGGCUUCUGCCUCAGGAAGUUUUGAAAUGAAGAUUUUUUUCUUUUUCAUAGCUAUUCAAAAGUCAGGCAGAAAUGUGCAGAAUAAAAUAAUCACUUCUCAUUCCAGCUUCUGAGUCUCAUUCUUUCUUAAUCCUUCAGUUUUCUGUGCCUGGGGGUAGGUUCCCUUUCAAGUGCAGUAAGAAUAGCCAUAUUUCUGUUCACUUUUUUCAGAAGAAAACACCUUUGAAUUUUCCUCUGAGCUCCUCUGUCUAGAUUAUCCCUGUCUCCAGUAAGUCUUUUCUCCCGGAUUUCCUGGGAUGUACUCAGUUGUCAGAAAAGUGGCAUGUUGAACCCUCCACCAUGGCUGGCUCCAGCCCUGGGGUGAGACUGGUGUGAGCCCUGAAUGCCCUCUUCUAUAGUCAAGUGCAGUUUGCCUCUUCUGUAGAGUCAUUAAGGCCACUAGGGCAGUGUGGAAAUUCCUCACGUAUGUCCUCAUUGUCAGCAGGAACAUCAGGAAUGCAUAUGUAAGUAAGAACAAGAUUAUAAAACCUAGGGUUGCUUAUCAACUCUAAUGUACCAUUACUGACCUGUAUCUGAAACGAAAAGGGAGUUUUCUGUGGAGAUCAUGGAUCCUCUCAGUCUCUGGAACUGUGGUGCAGCACACGGACUCAUCUCCAUGUGCAUUCAAGAGGAGCCCAGCUCAGCUCAGCGCUACACAGUGCCACACGAUGCCAAAAGAGCCACAGGAGGUUCCAGAUGUAGCUGCCAGGACAUCAAGCCUUCAUGCUGGCCUUCUGUUCCCCAUGCCUAUUUGCCAUUUCCUUAUAGAGUUAGUGGUUGAGCUAGGUGAUCUUAGUGAUCUUUCCAGCUGUAAUGGUUCUGUAAUUCUAUGAUUUUGUGAUUCCUAUACGCAAAUGCUUUAAUUAAAAUUCUGUCAUUUUUUCCCAGCUGUCUCGAAAAGAUUCUGUCUUGUCUUCCUUCGUAGUUUCAGCAUUCAGGCAGAAAAUAGCUCUCCUGAACAGCCUCACCUCUGUUACUGCUGUCACAUACUUGUUUCUGUUUGCCUCUGUUGCAGACUUUAUCUUUCCCUUUUUGACUCUUAUUUAAGACACAGAGACCCUGCUUGGGUUUCACAUGUCCGCUCUACAAUCAGCCUGCUGCUGAAGAGCUGUGUCACAGCCUAGAUUUCUCUUUCAGGGGCUUUUAUAUUCUUUCUUCAGUCACUUCUCUGCUGCUAGCUUGCAUUCAGUUAUUUUAACUAGUUUAGCUGAGGUUACUUUCUGUGUUACAGAAAGAUGAUUUAGUUCUGCUGAAGCCUGGCAGUGAAAAUACAAAAUAACAGCCUAUAUUUUUCAUCUAGAUUCACUUUCUGUGAUUUAUGGCACCAGGGAGAGCUGGAUUUUGUGUCCUGAGGUGCCACUAGAAGUGCUGGAGAAGAUGAAAUAUCUGGAGGAGAAACAAGGAAGCUGGAGAAAUAAGUCUGACAUAAGGACAGCUGCUUAAAGUCUAUGUUAAAUCAAAGCUCCUUCGUGAUGCAUUUCUGCACAAAGAUCUUAACAGCAGUUGGAUGUGAUUUAGUUUGAGUUUGGAGCUGUAGGUCAAUUCAUUGUGACUUGUCCACAAUGUGGCAAUUGAGGAACUCCUGUAAGACUGUCCAUGGGUUUCUGUUGAGUGGAUUGGUUGCAACAAGUAGAGUGGCACAAUGUCAGAGGGAAACAUGAACACAGGAACUAUUUCUCUACUGGAAACCCCUAUCUGGUAGCCUGAUAAAGUCUAAUUCAACUAAUUUUUCCUAAGUUGG
ensembl:lncRNA